rnacentral:rRNA from 1 species
GUGGGGAGCGAACAGGAUUAGAUACCCUGGUAGUCCACGCCGUAAACGGUGGGCGCUAGUUGUGCGAACCUUCCACGGUUUGUGCGACGCAGCUAACGCAUUAAGCGCCCCGCCUGGGGAGUACGAUCGCAAGAUUAAAACUCAAAGGAAUUGACGGGGCCCCGCACAAGCAGCGGAGCAUGCGGCUUAAUUCGACGCAACGCGAAGAACCUUACCAAGGCUUGACAUAUACAGGAAUAUGGCAGAGAUGUCAUAGCCGCAAGGUCUGUAUACAGGUGGUGCAUGGUUGUCGUCAGCUCGUGUCGUGAGAUGUUGGGUUAAGUCCCGCAACGAGCGCAACCCUCGUUCUGUGUUGCCAGCAUUUAGUUGGGGACUCACAGGAGACUGCCGGGGUUAACUCGGAGGAAGGUGGGGAUGACGUCAAAUCAUCAUGCCCCUUAUGUCUUGGGCUGCACGCAUGCUACAAUGGCUGGUACAAACGGCUGCGAUACCGCAAGGUGGAGCGAAUCCGAGAAAGCCAGUCUCAGUUCGGAUUGGGGUCUGCAACUCGACCCCAUGAAGUCGGAGUUGCUAGUAAUCGUAGAUCAGCAACGCUACGGUGAAUACGUUCCCGGGGCUUGUACACACCGCCCGUCACAUCACGAAAGUCGGUAACACCCAAAGUCAGUGGCCCAACCGCAAGGAGGGAGCUGCCAAAGGUGGGAUCGGUGAUUGGGAUG